AACGAACGCUGGCGGCGCGCCUAAUACAUGCAAGUCGAGCGAGAAGACGUAGCAAUACGUUUGUAAAGCGGCGAACGGGUGAGGAAUACAUGGGUAACCUACCCUCGAGUGGGGAAUAACUAGCCGAAAGGUUAGCUAAUACCGCGUACGCUCCUUGGACUUCGGUUCAUGGAGGAAAGCGAUACCGUGGGUAUCGCGCUCUUGGAUGGGCUCAUGUCCUAUCAGCUUGUGGUGAGGUAACGGCUCACCAAGGCUUCAACGGGUAGCUGGUCUGAGAGGACGAUCAGCCACACUGGCACUGCGACACGGGCCAGACUCCUACGGGAGGCAGCAGUAAGGAAUAUUGCGCAAUGGGCGAAAGCCUGACGCAGCGACGCCGCGUGGGGGAUGAAGGUCUUCGGA
rnacentral:rRNA from 1 species